AAGUUCACGCCUCCUUCCUUACCAUAACGCGAAAUAUGUCCAAAGCUCGUUUUGAACCUGGAUCUCCUGCUUAUAAAACAUAUGAUCUAACCACUGCGCUACAGCCGCACAAUAUUUGGCAUAACUUUUUUGCGAAUCAAGAAGCUCGUUUUAAUCAGUUUAGAAAAUUAAAAGGUUUAAAGAAAGAUAAGCGCUAGAAAAAGAAUGAGCUAAAACAAAAGAAGGCAGAGACACCAACAAAAAGCUUUGAAGUUAAUGAUAGUGAAGAGGAGGCAGAUAAUUAUAAAAAUCUUUGCAGCUAAAGACAGUGAAGAAUCGAGUCGAAGUACUGUAGCCAGCUGGGCUACGCUCACUGGAUGAAUUGCAAAUUAAAACUGAUUUAAUACAAAGACGGCAUAAGAUAAUCAAACCAGGUAAUAAAACAAUUCACUCUAUGGAUCCUAUGGGAGAACAGAUAAAUUCCAUCAAAAAAGAAGAAGUGAAAUGGAAUAGUUGUUACUUACAACAAAGAUAUGGUGUUUCAGAAAAGUUUGAAAUAUUAACAUUACCACAUGCCCUACAAGCUGAAGUUUGCUGAAAGUUAUACAAAUGGAGAAGUAUUGGUGCGUUUCUUUCCACAUGUAGAAGUUAAUGCAUACAGAAUGAGAGAUAAAGGAGGUCAGAAAAGUUGGCAGAAUAGUUUGUGUCGCAUUUGUGGAAGCGAAAUUGGUCAAAAAACUAGAAAAAAUCAAAAAAAAGUUAAAUA
rnacentral:lncRNA from 1 species